CCUACGGGAGGCAGCAGUGGGGAAUAUUGGACAAUGGGGGUAACCCUGAUCCAGCCAUGCCGCGUGUGUGAAGAAGGCCCUCGGGUUGUAAAGCACUUUCAGUGAGGAAGAACGCCUGGUGGUUAAUACCCAUCAGGAAAGACAUCACUCACAGAAGAAGCACCGGCUAACUCCGUGCCAGCAGCCGCGGUAAUACGGAGGGUGCGAGCGUUAAUCGGAAUUACUGGGCGUAAAGCGCGCGUAGGUGGCUUGAUAAGCCGGUUGUGAAAGCCCCGGGCUCAACCUGGGAACGGCAUCCGGAACUGUCAAGCUAGAGUGCAGGAGAGGAAGGUAGAAUUCCCGGUGUAGCGGUGAAAUGCGUAGAGAUCGGGAGGAAUACCAGUGGCGAAGGCGGCCUUCUGGACUGACACUGACACUGAGGUGCGAAAGCGUGGGUAGCAAACAGGAUUAGAUACCCGGGUAGUC
rnacentral:rRNA from 1 species